rnacentral:rRNA from 1 species
UACGUAGGGUGCGAGCGUUUAAUCGGAAUUACUGGGCGUAAAGCGUGCGCAGGCGGUGAUGUAAGACAGUUGUGAAAUCCCCGGGCUCAACCUGGGAACUGCAUCUGUGACUGCAUCGCUGGAGUGCGGCAGAGGGGGAUGGAAUUCCGCGUGUAGCAGUGAAAUGCGUAGAUAUGCGGAGGAACACCGAUGGCGAAGGCAAUCCCCUGGGCCUGCACUGACGCUCAUGCACGAAAGCGUGGGGAGCAAACAGG